AAAGGAAUAGACGGGGGCCUGCACAAGCGGUGGAGUAUGUGGCUCAAUUCGAUGCAACGCGAAGAACCUUACCUGGCCUUGACAUGCACGUAGUAGAAGGGUGAAAGCCUGACGAGGUAGCAAUACCAGCGUGCACAGGUGCUGCAUGCCUGUCGUCAGCUCGUGUCGUGAGAUGUUGGGUUAAGUCCCGCAACGAGCGCAACCCCUGUGUCCUGUUGCCCCCCCGGCGCGAGUCGGGAGCACUCUGGACAGACUGCCUCGCUCAAACGAGGAGGAAGGUGGGGAUGACGUCAAGUCAGUAUGGCCCUUACGGCCAGGGCUGCACACGUACUACAAUGCCCGGCACAGAGGGAAGCGAGACCGUCAGGUGGAGCAAAUCCCCAAAAACCGGGCUCAGUUCAGAUUGUCGUCUGCAACUCGACGGCAUGAAGCUGGAAUCGCUAGUAAUGGCGCAUCAGCUACGGCGCCGUGAAUACGUUCCCAGGCCUUGUACACACCGCCCGU
rnacentral:rRNA from 1 species